GUAACACUGUCUCAGGAACAGGUCAACUACCUUGAAGGUCUUAACCUCCAGCUGUAUGGGAGUUUGUGGGCAGGAAGCAAGCAGCACAGAUCAAGGUUUAAUCAAGCAGGACAAAGCCCGGGAACACUAUGGAGUUCAGUGUCCUGCACAGCACCAGAACACAAUGUCCAUACAGAUAUUUUAGCAAGGUAUAAACACCUUCAGCCAUUCUACCAUCCCCAAGAUAAGAAGCUUCAUCAGGAAAAGAAAAAAUAUGAAAAUGGAAAGCAAAUCACAGGUUUUCAGAUACAA
rnacentral:lncRNA from 1 species